GGUUGCACCAGAAGUAGAUAGCUUAACCGCAAGGGGGGCGUUUACCACGGUGUGGUCCAUGACUGGGGUGAAGUCGUAACAAGGUAACCGUAGGGGAACCUGCGGUUGGAUCACCUCCUUACGAAGA
rnacentral:rRNA from 1 species